rnacentral:rRNA from 1 species
UACAGAGGGGGCAAGCGUUGUCCGGAAUUAUUGGGCGUAAAGCGCGCGUAGGCGGCUACUUAUGUCGGAUGUGAAAGCCCUUGGCUCAACUGAGGAAGUGCACCCGAAACUGAGUAGCUGGAGUACGAAAGAGGGUCGCGGAAUUCCCGGUGUAGAGGUGAAAUUCGUAGAUAUCGGGAGGAACACCGGUGGCGAAGGCGGCGACCUGGGUCGAUACUGACGCUGAGGCGCGAAAGCGUGGGGAGCAAACAGG